ensembl:snoRNA
AUCCUUUUGUAGUUCAUAAGCAUGAUGACUGGGGUUUCACGCAGUAGUGCCUUCCUCAAGCCUUGUUACCACCUCAUUGGAACAUUACCCCUUUGACA